GCUGUGUUGGACAUCUCUGUGACUAUUUUGUGACUGCCGAUUUGUGCUUCUUAAUCCCUUCACCUUUUCACCCAGUCCCCCGAGUCCCUCCCUUCUGGCAAACAUCGGUCUGUUCUCUGGAUUUAUGAAUUUAUGUGUUUCAAUUUUGUUUGU